AUUAAUCCUUUUAGAAUAUGGAACUUAGAUUUAAUCUUGUAAAAUUGUCCCCAUAAGCAAGGGGUCCACUAUAUUUUGUGUAUGGAAAUAAUUGUAAGGUGAAAAUGUCUGACUAAGUCAUACAUGACAUAAAUUUCCAUUCCUGUGAUUGAUGUCAUGAAACAUUUGCAGUAAGUUUUGUUCUAAAUGAUGUUAUGCCCCUUACAAAAAUAUGCUAAUCUUGACUGGUUCUUUCCCCGUUUGUAGGUGGUACUUUUCAAUUUAUUUCACAAAUACCUUAAUUCCUACAUUUAGACAGUAUUUGUCAAUACCAUAGUAGGGUAUAAAGAGUAACCCCUCCUAAUGAAUGGCCUGGUAAUGUGUAUUUUUCAAUUUAUUUCACAAAUACCUUAAUUCCUAAAUUUAGGCAGUAUUUGUCAAUAGCUAAUAGGGUAUAAAGAGUAACCCCUCCUAAUGAAUGGCCUAAUAAUGUGGUAGUUGAUCACAUGCAUUGUAUAUGGACCUCCCAUCUUUUUUUUCCUGACUUUUAUAUGUAAUUGGUAUCAUUGUACAUUGGAGCUUUGCUAUCCCCCACCACCUUUUUUUUUCUCAAAUCCCAGCUUCACUAUGAUAUUUUUAAUCAACAUAUAAAUGUUGUCAGUUAAGUGUCAGUUACAUUGUAAAUUAGGUUUUUGACCAUCAC
rnacentral:lncRNA from 1 species